GUGGACAUCCCUUAAAUACCUCAUUUGUGGAUGUUAAUCCUUCACCGUGGAUGGUAACUACGAAACAUGAGCUUAUACGUACGCUGGUAUCAUAAAACCCGUCUAUGCUGCCUGCGGAUUAAAUCAUCAUUCGGGCUGUCAAUGGAGAUGGAUUUUCCUGUGUUACGGUCGGUGUCCAGUAGUCUCUUUCGAGUGGACAGUGGAUGUCAUUGGCGCUGCUAGGAUCUAAACUAAUCCUUCCCAUACGCUGCGCCGUAAGCAAGUCUUUCGAUUGCUUUUUCUUGCCCGUGUGCUGGUGGUUGGCAUCUUCGCCAUAAGGCUGUAGGCUUGGGAAAAAUGCCGGCUGGUAAAUUUUAAGUGCCAGUUGUCUAAGUGUUCGGGAGAGAGAGAGAGGCCAUGUUACUUGUUUCGAGCAAUAUCGACGAGGAAAGAAUUUUCAAUUUACUCCGUUUUAUAGGACUUUGGAAGCUUUUAUCUCGAAAGGGAAAGGCACUUGUUCGAUGAUUCAAUUUAAGUCAACGUUUUCUAUACGAAGCCGUUUAUAAUAGAACAACCAUGUUGCAUUAAAUGCUUUCUUGGGGUCUUUAUAUUUAUUAACUCUGUCUAAGGGCCCAACUUUUAAAAAGUACAGAGUUUUUCAUUAAGAAUGUUUUUUCUGUAUCUAACAAGCUAUCUGGUAGUCAAACAAAUCCUUCAGUACUUGAGAGCUUUGAGCUACGAGCGCUCCACAAUCUACAGUUUGAACUCAACAAUAAAACGGCUAACAACCAGA